rnacentral:rRNA from 1 species
GUGCCAGCCGCCGCGGUAAUACGGAGGAUGCAAGCGUUAUCCGGAAUGAUUGGGCGUAAAGCGUCCGCAGGUGGCAAUGUAAGUCUGCUGUCAAAGCGUCUGGCUCAACCAGAUAAAGGCAGUGGAAACUACAUAGCUAGAGUAAGGUAGGGGUAGAGGGAAUUCCUGGUGUAGCGGUGAAAUGCGUAGAGAUCAGGAAGAACACCGGUGGCGAAAGCGCUCUGCUGGACCUUAACUGACACUGAGGGACGAAAGCUAGGGGAGCGAAUGGGAUUAGAAACCCUUGUAGUCC